rnacentral:rRNA from 1 species
AAGAAUCUGCCCUCCACUUUGGGAUAACUCCGGGAAACCGGGGCUAAUACCGAAUAUUGAAACAUAAGUGGCAUCACUGAGUUUUGAAAGAAUUUCGGUGGAGGAUGACUUCGCGGCCUAUCAGCUUGUUGGUGAGGUAAUGGCUCACCAAGGCUACGACGGGUAUCCGGCCUGAGAGGGCGACCGGACACACUGGGACUGAGACACGGCCCAGACUCCUACGGGAGGCAGCAGUGGGGAAUAUUGGGCAAUGGACGCAAGUCUGACCCAGCGACGCCGCGUGCGGGAUGAAGGCCUUCGGGUUGUAAACCGCUUUCAGCAGGGAAGAAGCGAAAGUGACGGUACCUGCAAAAGAAGCACCGGCUAACUAUGUGCCAGCAGCCGCGGUAAUACAUAGGGUGCAAGCGUUGUCCGGAAUUAUUGGGCGUAAAGAGCUCGUAGGUGGUUCGUUACGUCGGAUGUGAAAAUCUGGGGCUCAACCCCAGACCUGCAUUCGAUACGGGCGAGCUAGAGUUUGGUAGGGGAGACUGGAAUUCCUGGUGUAGCGGUGGAAUGCGCAGAUAUCAGGAGGAACACCAAUGGCGAAGGCAGGUCUCUGGGCCAAUACUGACACUGAGGAGCGAAAGCGUGGGGAGCGAACAGGAUUAGAUACCCUGGUAGUCCACGCCGUAAACGGUGGGCGCUAGUUGUGGGGACCUUCCACGGUCUCUGC